UACGGGGGGGGCAAGCGUUGUUCGGAAUUACUGGGCGUAAAGGGCUUGUAGGUGGCCAACUAAGUCAGACGUGAAAUCCCUCGGCUUAACCGGGGAACUGCGUCUGAUACUGGAUGGCUUGAGUUUGGGAGAGGGACGCGGAAUUCCAGGUGUAGCGGUGAAAUGCGUAGAUAUACGGAGGAACACCUGCGGCGAAGGCGGGUAGCUGGGCCAACACUGACGCUGAGACGCGAAAGCUAGGGGAGCAAACGGG
rnacentral:rRNA from 1 species